rnacentral:pre_miRNA from 1 species
UGCUUGUUGGUAAUUUUGCAUCUGUUGCACAUGCGAUUUUACCAAAAUGCAAU